AUUGAACGCUGGCGGCAGGCCUAACACAUGCAAGUCGAGCGAGCGUCGGACGGGUGAGUAAUGUAUGGGGACUGCCCGAUAGAGGGGGAUAACUACUGGAAACGGUAGCUAAUACCGCAUACUAUCGGAUAACCCAUAUGGGAUUAGCUAGUAGGUUAGGUAAUGGCUCACCUAGGCGACGAUCCCUAGCUGGUCUGAGAGGAUGAUCAGCCACACUGAGACUGGGACACGGCCCAGACUCCUGCGGAGGCAGCAGUGGGGAAUAUUGCACAAUGGGCGCAAGCCUGAUGCAGCCAUACCGCGUGUAUGAAGAAGGCCCUGGGAUUGUAAAAUACUUACAGUCGAGAGGCGUUACCGACAGAAAAUGCGCCGGCUAACUCCGUGCCAGCAGCCGCGGUAAUUC
rnacentral:rRNA from 1 species